GUCUGUACUUAUUAUACAUGAAAUUAUGAAAUCCUAUAGUUGAUGGAAUUGUGAUUUAUAUAAAUAGAGAUAACAAAAAAAAAAUUAAAAUGUAAUUAGAAAAUCUUAAUCAAUAAAAGUUUUGGGGAAUUUUAGUAGAAUAAUAAAAGCCUUUGUCCAUACCAUAAUAGUUAAUUAUAUUUUUUCCCAAGAAAAAAGGAAAAAAUGCAAAAGUUCCUUUAUCCAUACCAUUACAUUUAAUUGUACUUUUUACGUUUACAAAAGUUCUCUCAAGUCCUGAACAUCUGUACUCUUUUGUGUAAGACUAAUUUCAUAUUUUUAAUCUUUAAAAAGCAAGUAUUUAUGUGGGUAUUUUUCUUCUUUAUAAUUGUGCAGACACAGCUG
rnacentral:misc_RNA from 1 species